rnacentral:lncRNA from 1 species
CAUUAUAACUUUAUUAACAAUUCCAGACAAACUUUUCCAAAUUGAAGUUGUUAAAGGAAGUAAACAUAUUUAAGCACUGUGAUAGAUUAGCCAAGAUUUAAUUUAGUAUUACUAUCAAGUAGAAUACAAAUUAUAUGAAAACUUUGAUUAUAACAAUGUAAUGAGUAAUUUUGCUGACAUGAGGAUUCAAAUAUUAAAUUCCAUGAAGUAAAUAUAUAAUUUAUAAUUUAUUUGGCUUUAUUACUCAUCCAAAUACCUUUCUCAAGACUAAGUAUGUUUCCUAAUUUUUUUUUUCUUUUUAGGGCCUCACCUGCAGCAGGCAGAAGUUCCCAGGCUAGGGAUCAAAUCGGAUCUGUAGACACUGGCCUACACCACAGCCACAGCAACACCAGAUCUGAGCCACAUUUGCGACCUGCACGACAGCUCAUGGGGCAACGCCGGAUCCUUAACCCACCAAGUGAGGCCAGGGAUCAAACUUGCGUCCUCAUGGAACCUACAGAUUCGUUUUCUGCUGAGUCAUGACGGGAACUCCCUAUAUCAUAAUAUUUACAUCUAUUCAUUUUUGCUAUUUUUCUCACCUUUGGUAAUAAAAUUACCAAAGCUUAAUGUGUAAUUUUCCAAGUGUUCUUACUAAAGAAUACUUGUCAAGGUAGAGGGAAGAAUGUAUUUCAUUCAACAGCCUAUAACCAUAAUUUAUAACUUUUUUUACAUAUUUAGUCUUGCUGUGUAUGGCUUAUAUUUGUUAUGUGUUCCAAGUCCUACAAAUAUUAGGUGCAAACCUGGGGUGAGCCUUUGCUUUGAAGGAAGAAGUCCUUUCUAUCUUCACAAAUCUUAUAAAGAAGCCAACUGGGGCAUCAGAGUAUAAUUUCCUAAAAGUUGAAAAUAUAACUUGCAGAAAUAUAAAGUAAGCUCAAAUCAGGAACAUUAGGAAGGGAUGAACCAAAGAUUAAACUGGUUCAAUGGAGUAUAAGAAAGACAAAAAUAUCCAUUAAAGUCAGAGAAAGAAGAAAAAAAUGCUGACAUGACAUUGCUAAAUUAAAUACAAAGCUGUUUGCGAGCCUCCAGGACUACAAAAUGUAACCUUUGGGUUAUCUUUUCUAUCAGACAGAAAUCAUUUGUAUCUCAAGUGGACAAAAAUCAUUUACAAUUUAACACUUUUCUAAAGGUUAACAUCUGACUGCAUAGAGUCUGGAACUUUGUUCAUCUAAAAUCGUCUGUCACCAAAAAGGAGUCCUCUUGGAGAAUUAGAUAAGCCUUGAGCAGCUCUGUGCAUCAUCAGUAAUUUAUGUCCAGGUAAGGAUGUAGAGUCCUCCUUUUGCAUGCCCAGUUUUGGAUACUUUUUCUUAGUAAGCAAAAGCCGGGAAAUUCAGUCUUGACAGGGAUUUCUUUAACUCAAGUGUGGGCCGCGGGCCAGGACUCUGAUGAAUAGAGAUAGACUCAGAAACAUGUCAUGUGGUAAGGGGAAGUUGUCCUCGGCCAGGUGAGACAGGUCUGAAACCAGACCAGGAGGCGCUCUGUGACUGGAAGGCUUCAGGGUUGGGCCUGGACCCGCACACUCCAAAAGCAACCUUGUUGUGUUGUAAUUAUAAUUGAUUCUGUGAGUUUGAAUCCCUUCUCUAUCUCCAGCCUUCAGUAACAUCCAGCCAAGUGGCAGCCUCAUAUUUAACCGUGUCGUGGAAACUUAAAGAGAGGGUCUCUUUUCUGUUUGGGGGAGUCAUUCGCGUUAGGCAUGGAGAAAGAGGGGAGGGGCAGCGUUUUUCCUCAUCUAAAGCCAGAAGAGUGGCGGCAUCAGUGGCUCCAGGGAAGGUAACCAGAAAGAGAGAUUACCUAUCAGUGAAAUGGUUGGUUAUAAAAAAAACAAGGAGGAAGCAUGUCAAUCAAACGUGGUCAGUACCCGAGGGAGGCAAAGAUCGGAUCAUAUGAAAUACCUGGGCAGGUGUGUAUCCGAAAUACUUGGAAAGGAAUCCUGGAAAAGGCUAGCCUUUUCCCUUCGACAAAUGAAGCAGAGUCCAGAUCACCUGUGCUUGUUGAAUUGUAGUACAAUAGUUGCAGGUAUGAACUCUAGAGUUAUAAUGCCUGGGUUCAAGUCCUAAUCCUACCUUUUAAUAGCUAUACGAAUUUGAUAUUACCUAGCUUCUUUUUGUCUCAGUUUCCUUAUCAGUGAAGUAGGUAAAAUGGUGCCCAUUAUAUUGUAUGUUUUUAGAAAUUUUUCUCUUGUCAUAAGCUUUAUUCUUGCCUUCAUUCAUUCACUUUUGAAUUGUAGAAGUGGUAGCCUGUGAACUACAUUUGCCUUUCUUGUUGGAUUCAGAAUUUUGGAAAUAAAGAAUAAGAGAGACGCCAUCUUUCCUUCGCUACGGAGAUGCCUUCAGUAGAAGCGGUAGUGGCUCCCUCGGUGGGGUUUUUUUGGCUCCUGGGUAUCCACUCAGCUGCGAUAAUAGCAGGGACAUAGCCUUCAUCAGAGUAGUGGCCAGACAAAGCUUCAGCCCAGGAAUAGUGUCAGCUUUGGAUCAAAGGAUAAAGCACUGUACCCUUGGGUUCACCAGCUUUUCUAAUAAUUUUUAAACUAAUUCCAUCCAUCAAAUUUCUUUACACUUGAAAUAUCUAGAGCAGUUUCUCUGUUUUUUUUCUGACUGAUGGGCACAGUUAUUAAUAUUUUAUUUAUUAUUUCCAUUGUUAAUAUCAAUAUAGUAUCAACAUUAUUAUUAACGUCAUUUGAAACAUUAUCUACAAACCAAAAAGUCUGACAGUACAAGCUUUUUAACCAACUUUUCUGAACGACUGCUGUAGUCCUUUUUUCUACAGACUUCAUUCUUGACCCAGAAGCAGAUGUAAUGAAUAAUCAAUAGUUACAGGAACUGGUAUAUACGUUCAAUACACCACUGUAGGUUUAUACUUAUCACUGAUCAAUAGCCUAGUGGAUGGAGAGAUGUAUGUCCUUUGGCACCAGUCUAAGAAAGAUCAUAUUACCUUGGAGAAACAGAUUUUGAAUAAUUAGAAAAAUCUGUAAUCAAUAAUAGAGCUCUUAUGUCCGGUAUCAAACAUAUCCAGAAAUAUUGUGUGAUUAACCUUUAAUACAGCUGGAAGGAGAGAACAUGUACCACACAGGUAACUUUCUUUCAUAGCUGAAGAAAAUGAAGUUUAUUUCCAAUAGCUGAACUGCCUUGGUAAGGGAAACUUUGAUCAAUGGAUUAUAGAAUCAUAGAAGGAAUUGUGAAUAUGAGGGCUUAAAACUGGGAAAUAACUGGAAAAAAGUAGUCCAGAAAACAAAAUUGGUAUAGAGGGAAAUGGACUUAAAAUAUUCUAAGAAACCAGCCUGGCUCACCCUUUUCCUUGGUUCUACUGCUUCCCUUACUUUAAGGGUUUAAUUCUGUCUUGAAAUUGUCAUACUGCGCUUUCCUCAUUAUAUUCCUCUGUUAGUCUCUGGGGAAGACCGUUGCUGAAUUUGUCAUCUCUGUACUCUGGUGUUUGCUGGCAAACAAGAGACUCAUUACACAGUUGCGCAACAUAGCUGGCCAUGAACCCUGUUAGCUGGGAAAAUGUCUUUACUUUGAAUGACUCUUUCCAACAGCAUAUUUCAACCUUGGCUAGGUUGAUCUCUUUAUUAAUAACCUAAUUUAUAACUAUAUAACAAGUGACUAAAAGUAAGUAAGAUUGAUAUCCAGGACAGGAUAUAAACCAGCAACAUUGUUACAGUGACACCACUUGAGACGUAGGAUUAGUCUAGACGUGAGACUUUCUGGAAGCUGAAAAAAACAAAAACAAAAAUCAGAGAACAGCUGGAGUAGAAUUUGAAAAAGUAUUGACCAGAGCCAGCAGGGCAAAAGGAAAAUAACAUUGUCUUUGUAACCAGACCACUUGAGCUCAGUCCCAGACUCUUUCACUCUAGGGAUGAAUUCAUAUCCUAUUUAUCAGCCUCUCCUUUUCCCGCUCCCUCUGCUUGUCAUAAACAGACAGCACACAAGCCACACCUACAGUUUAUAUUGGAAGUCAGCCCAUGAUGACCUGCAGGCCAAAUUCAGCUGUCAGAUAAAGUUUUAUUGGAAAGCAGGCACAUCCAUUUGUUUACGUAUUUUCUAUGGCUGCUUUUUCAUGUGAAAGGCAGUUUAGUAGUUGUGAGAGGUGAUAUGGUUGCAAAUCCUAAAAUACAUACUUUUUGGCCCACAGCACAAAAUGUGUGCUAAUUUCUGGCCUUAGAUAAUGGUAGAAGCUCAAGAAUUUUAGUCCCAUUUGUUUAGCUAGAAAAAAAUAUGACAGAACAUCUAGUGCCUAGAUCUUGGUUUCUAAUAAAAGGAACCAGGGCUCCUUGGAGAAAUGUCUGAUACUAGGGCUGAGGCAAGAAAUAUACAGGAUGAGCCUGGAACAUCUUAUGCAGCCACAAAGUAAAGAAAUGCAAAAAAUAAAAAAACUAAACAAAAAUAGGAGGAUAUCGACAGGACACAGGAGACAAAUGAAAGUGCUCUCAAUGCCCAAAGGUGGAAAUUCUGAGUAAAUACAUGCAUACUUGCAUACCUAUAUAUUCUAUUGGAUUAUAGCUCAAAAUCUAGAAUAAAUCUCCAUGAAUCCAUACUAAAACCAAAGGUACCUUGUAAAAGAGAAUUACAGGCCAGUAUCACUGAUGAACAGAGACACAAAAAUUCUCAACAAAAUACUAGCAAACCAAAUCCAAAAUAUUUUCUAGGCAAAGCCAGAGUGAUUCUAAAUGUUCUUUUCUAUUAUAUCAGAGGAAACAAUCAAAGUCACUGAUUUGUGGUUAACUAUAUCCCUAACAAUAAUAAUAAUAAUAUGUCUUGUGAAGGGACUAUCACAGGUCUUCUAAUGAUUGCAUAGCUUCCUUAUCUUCAAACAGAUUGAAAAAGUUAUUUCCCAAGGAUUAAAUCAGGAUCUGUCAUUUUGCUUGUAGCAUCAGAGGCCCAAGGUAUCAGUGGUACUUUAUUCCAACAUGACUUGACAUAGCCCUUGUGAAAUAUCAGUUUCUCUUUCAGUAAGAUUUCAAGUAUGGCUUAAUUUGGCUUAACAACCAUCAUUUUAUAAGUAAGCAUGUUGUCACAGAUUUAAAAUGCUUCAGAUGACAACUUUGGAUUUCUUGGCUUAAAUUUUUAAAGCAUUCAAAGUUUAGCAGUCUCUGCAAUGAACUGUGUCAAUUUUAGAUGUAUUCUUGACAUAAACUUGUCCUUGCAUUUCAGGCUUCACAUUAUAAGCUGCAGGUUUUCAACCUGGGAAAUAGGUAUUUAUUUGGUAAACAUGUUUACAGUGUAGACUAUUUUUUUUCCUUUAAAUGUAGGAAAAACUUGUUUUCUUUCUUAUUUUGCUGAUUCCUUUCCUCCAAAUGUACAAAUGAACUGCCAAUCUAUUGUAUUGCUCACUCUGAUUCCUCAAACAUUGUACCAACUCUUUACUGCUUUGGGGUAGUUUCCAAAAUACAAUACUUGAGUGAAAUAUGUCCCCAGUAGAUUUUACCCUUUAACUGUGUCCUCUAUUUUUUUUUUGUACUGCUAUUAUAUAGAAACUCUGAAUGACUUUAUUAUAUUUCAGAGCAUGACUGUUAUUUCCUGCUAUUUUUGUUUUUUCUACUUGAAAUAGAGCUUAUUUUUCUAGCAUUUUUAGAAUUGAAACCCAUUAGUUACAUAUGCAAAAGCUGCAUAAAUUUUCAAGUAAAAUAUUUUAGCAUAGUAUAUUACCGUGAGAGAGAAAAAAAAAAAAA